rnacentral:rRNA from 1 species
UACGUAGGGGGCAAGCGUUGUCCGGAUUUAUUGGGCGUAAAGAGCGUGUAGGCGGCUUGGUAGGUCCGCUGUGAAAACUCGAGGCUCAACCUCGAGAUGUCGGCGGAAACCACUUGGCUAGAGUCCGGAAGAGGAGAGUGGAAUUCCUGGUGUAGCGGUGAAAUGCGCAGAUAUCAGGAGGAACACCGGUGGCGAAGGCGGGUCUCUGGGCCGUAACUGACGCUGAGGGGCGAAAGCGUGGGGAGCGAACAGG